GGCGCGCCGCGGUCGCCCCGGUGCACCGUGUGCCGCAGGAACCCUCACGGCUCGCCUCCCCUCCCCCCGCCCCCGGUUCUCUCCUUGCUCCAGCCACGGACCUUCUAGGAUAUUGUGCAACCCUCGAACCCCCCCUCCUUUGCGCGCCUUCCCCCCAAGCCUCCCACCCAGCCCCACUUGGGGCAUUUUUAUUUACGGGGGCGUCAGUUGGCAAAUGGCUGAGCCGCGGGGAGGCGGCGGCGGCGGGGGUGGCGGUGGCGGGAGGGGGCGCCCGGGGGGUGGUUGCUGGCAGGGUGUAGCUGCUGUGACAGAAAUAGGAAGUGGGUGGCUGCUCGCAGGCUUGCAUGGGAUCGGGUUUAUGAUUUUCUUUUGCAGAGGGAGGGGUGAUUUAUGGCUUUUAAAAAAUUAAUAUGGCAUUUUUAUGUGGCCGUGGCUUUCCACCGACUGCCUCCCUCGGGCUGGGUUCUCUCGGAGCUCCAUUGCAGCAAUUCCCUCCGCGCCCCCUCCCCCUCCCCCUGAAAGGGCCUGCACAGGACUCGCGAGAGAGCGGGAGAGCGUGGGGGGAGCCCGGCGCUUCCUUCCGCGCGGGGCGGGGGCGGCCGCAGGCGGAGGGGGUGGCCGAGGGGACGCGCGGGGGCCGCGGGAGGCGGGGAACGACCCGAGAGUCCCGCCGCGCCGCCCCGGGAUUCCCCCGCAGGCCCUGAGAAAGACACGAAAAGCAGUUCUCCAACCUCCCUCGCCACCGGAGCCUUCCUUCCCCCGCCGACCUGUCAGUGCUCUUGAAUGGUUCCCCGCUGGAGCACACCUCCCUGGUGGUAACCUCACCCGGCUCGCUUCUUCCGUGCCCCUGGCACCCCCUUGUUAACGGGCCAUUUGAUUCCUGUUAUUGCCUCUUCUCCCCUGCCCCGGGAUCGUAUACUCCUUGCCCUGAGGUUCCUGGCGUAGAGAAGCGGGGAUGCGUGGGGUGAGGAAGGGGACAGGCAGUGGUCUUUCUUGCCCGGGAAAAUCCGCCGUCCUCGUUGUGUUCCGUGGUGGAGUUGGGGAGGAACCAUCCUACAAAUCCUGGAAGGAUGGGACAACAGAGCAGAUCCUCCAGGAUUAAGUAGUAUCCCUCGUUCCUAGGGUUAGGACCCGGAGCAAAGCAGGGAUGGGGUAGGGGCUAGGCACGGAACGGGCCUUAGAAAUUGCAAAUAGCACUGGCUGGUGUGGAGUGUGUGUGUGUGUGUGCGCGCGCGCGCGCGCGCGCGCGCGGGGUGUGUGUGUGUGUGUGUGUGUGUGUGUGUGUGUGGUGUAUAGAACUGAGAUAGUAUCUAAUGUGGCCAUGCAAGUUGAGUGCAAGGCAAUAAAGUCAUUGGUCCCAUGAGCACUUAGGUGAAGUAACUCCGCAGCCUUAAGACCAUGAUACAGAAGUCCUUCUGGGGCGACAGAACUGUUCAUUGCUCCAUUCACAUUUGCUCAGUUGUUAAAGUUGUGUGUAUGUGUGUGUGCGUGGUGAUGGGGGAGGGGGAUUUUUUUCUCUUUUUUUAAAAAAAGAGAAUAAAAUUUCUUGUUUUGAUUAUAUUAGAAUCAUUCCUACUUGAAUGCAGUAUUCAUAGACUCAUCAAAGUAAGGAGGAAAUACCUUUGCAAAAAAUGACUCGAAGUAGGACUACAGAUGAACAACUGUUCUCUCUGCAGUAAUGGCUCCUCAUGUAAACAGUGAAUUCAAAUCGAUUCCAAAGAACUAUGCUUUGUAUUAAGGGUUAUUGUUGACAUUUUCAAAAAUUAAGACCUUUUGCUGAAAUAUUGGAGAAUAACAAAUAUCUCCCUAAUGUGUGAUGUUUAGGUGUAACUCCAGUGUAUGUUAAGAUUGCCUGUUUUCAAAACAGUGUAAAGCUUACAAUUAAAGUGCUAGCAGUAAAUGUGUCAACAAUUAAAAGUCAGUCAUAUGUGCAUACAUAACUUCAGGUUCCCUGUUUUAAAUCACAAAGUGUGGGUUCUCUGUGUAAAUGUAAAAUUGUCAUGGAGAGAAGAAUGUAGAAUUGUCUAUACAUUCUGGCUUGAUGUCUUUACCAAUUAAUGUGAAAGAGUCUAUUCAGCCAUUCUAUGCCUAUUUGGUCUUGCUUUUUUCCAAUGCUAUAUUAUAAUGUUUUUAUAGAUGAGUCUUCAUUGUAAGUACACAGAUUCUCCUUAAUUCCAAAAAAAAUGGUUUACAUAUUUUUGUAGAGCUAAAAUGCACACGUGGUUAAUAUAGGAAAAUAGGAAAGUCUCAAAAUAGGGAAAGGUAAUUUUGUAUUUGUUUUUAUAGGGAUCUUGAUGUGAAAUUUUAAAUGUGAAAUUUUGUUUAUAGAAAAAAACUUUUAUUGAUGAAUCCUGAUUUUAAGGUGGGCAUGUUAUUUUUCUUAUGCUUUCUUAUAGACUUUAUAUUGUUGGCUUUUUAAAAGGCAUUAUUGAAUGUUGGAUCAACAUUUGGUCACAUACAUGAUUUUUAUAACUGAUUAUUUUGAAAUGGUAAUCUGUUUUGAUUACCAGUUCUCUAACAGAUAGCAUUUGCCUACGUAUACACAUGCUUAGUGAGUAGAAAGUACAUGAAUGAUGAAUGGAAAAUAGAUGACCAAAUGAUUUUUCAGGUUUACAAAAUUAGGUAAGACAUAGUUCAUGGAACCAUGACUUUAAAUUUUGCUAGAACUUCAUCUCAGUAGUCUGACAGGAUUCUUUAAUGUAGGAAAGGGGUUAUCCUCGAGGAAAUUUUUGUGCUCCUCAAACUUCCUCUUCUUUUACAAUACAGAUAGUAAUAUUUGGUUGCAUAUAGAAAUAAGAAGUAUUUGGAUCAUUAUUACCAUGGCAUGCCAUGGUGUUUGUUUAUAGUUAUCUGCAUUAGUGUGAUCUGGCUUUUGUUGUAUAACAACUUGCUGUUUACAAAUAAAGCUGUGCUUGUGGUUUUGUUUGUAGUAAUACCAUGAUGUGACGGCUUUCUUGAUUUGUACUUCCAGAAUGCAGCUUUAGAAAGUUGAAGAAAUGGAGACAGAAUAGAUAGCAUGGUCGGUCACAGGUGGGACUAGAAUGCAGGUAAGUGUAAGCAAAUUCUUUCCUUUAGCAAAGAUGUUCUUUUGUCUUGAAAACCUGUUUGACAGUGUCACUUCUUUUGGUAUAUUUAAGAUGUCACAUAGUAUUUCAAACUUUGCUUUACUGAAUUACUAGCUGUAUAAAAUAGUUUCAAUAGGAGAGGGAGCUUUUAUAUCUCUGUAUUUAGCAGAAAUAAACAUUCUGACGAUAGAUAUUAUAAUCUGGUUUGAUCUUGGCAUGAGGUUUACUAAAGGAAAAUUGUUAAACGUUAUUCUCUAUUCAGGUAAAUAUAUACACAGAAAUAGAAAUAGCAUAUUCUCCUACUAAAACAUUUAUUGACAUUUAUUUUGAAGGUUGUUAUCAUAAGCCUCUUUGUCUGAACUACAGAUAAUGGUCGAUACAGUUGGUCUGGUUUGAGGAUUUUACGAAUUUCUAGAGAAAGCUCAAGCAAAACCAACAACCAGUGCUUCGUAGGUGUUUCACUCCUUUUUAAAAAAUAGUCAUCAGGUGGGAAUGUCGGCACUGACACACGGUUUCAGUUUGUAAACUAAGUCUUUAGUAAUCUUGACAUUUUCAGCAUUAUUAACUCAUUUUACCGUAUUUUCAUCUUCUGUAUUCAUACAGGCUGUAUCAUGAUAAGCCAUCAAUUAUAUUUCAUAUAAGAAGUCAAAUAAAACACUUCAUAUUCCUCUAUGGUUAGGUGUUCUGAAUAAUGGCUUAAAUCAGAUGGACUGGCAAACUGAGGACCUGGGCCUAUGGCUGGGAUCUCAAAUCCUUUUCACAAAUGUACAUGCAGUAACUGAAACCCUGAUAUUAAAAACAAAAACAAACCCUGACUGAGAAAGCAGUAAUUAAUCAUUAAAAUAUUACAGUUUUAGAAUUCGAUCUAUGCUUUGUGAGACAUCACAGAAAUAGAAUGUUGUGUUCUUCUUUUUAUUUCCUUAAUCCAUGUCUUUGCCUUAUACCAAGUAUAUUCCUACUCUAUUGUAAAAGGAUGGUCUGUCUGACUUUCUAUGAACUUCUCUCUUGCAACUGGAAAUUCUGCAGAUGUCUGCAGAAAGCAAAACACAUAAGUAGAGACCAGAGAUUUAUGUUCCCAGCUGCCUCCAGAUGAUGACAGACCACCUUACAGGGUUUGUCAGUGUCAGGUACUUCCUAUAGUUAGGAAGCCAGAAGAACGAUGGUUGAUGUUCAGAAAGAGAGUUUUAUUCAUACAGAGCUAAAUUUUAAAAGAUCCCAUUAGCUCUAAGUUUCUGAGAUGUAGAGUCUCUUCUUAUACUGUCCAUACGGUAACUGUAUGGACCCACUUUAUUUUUUUUAUUUUUUGGGGGGAGGAGCUGUUACUUCUGAUUUAAAAUGUUCAGUUGUCUCUGUGUAGUAGUAGAAUGUUUUGGAGAUUCUGGUAGGUCGGUGUCUGAACUAUGUCUCCCAGAUUGCUGCAUAUUCGUGGAAGGUACACAAAUUUUUUUUGUUAAUAUGUAUAUUCAGAGUUUUAGUUUGAAAACCAUGGUCAUCGAAUCAGUGUUGCCUAGCUCAAUGCCUUGCUUCUUAUGCCCUGAAUCAGUUCUUGUCUGAUGACUUUGAACAUUGCACAAUUCUCACUACACCUCCUGAAGCAAUGAAUGGAGACAAAUUAUGUAUUUAUUUUGAGUACAAUUGUAUUAAGUUCUGUCUUUUUUAUAAAUGGUUCUAUAUGAUAACUGUAUGGUUUUGGAAUACUUCCUCUCCAGCCACAUCAGACAAUAGAAUAUGAGAGAGAGGCAUUAAUAAGGUGAUAUAAUUAGAUUCAGGGAAGUUUUGUUGUUUGGUCAUUUGGACUGGCUUCACGCCAGCUGAGUUUAAAAGGCUAACUCCUUUUCAACUCAGCAUAUUAGCUUGAACUUGAAAGCUUUUUUUCGGUUUUUGUUGUAUUUCCCCUUAGACUGAUCAGUUUUUGACAGGUGAGAAAAGAUAUGUUAAUCACUCAGUGUUUGACAUAUUGGGUGAUUUAUAUUUUUUAAUUAUUGUUUAGAUUUGGACUUGAAGAGAGAAUGAUCGGGAAAAUUCCAUGAAACAAAACAAAACAAACCGAGACCAGAAAAACCCCUCUUCCUUUGUUUACAUCUCAAUUUAUCAUUUUCUGUAAUGCUUUUGUAAUUCAGAAACGCAGCCUUCUUCAACAUAACCUCCUGCCCUCCUCCUGCCCUCCGCUGGCCCCCAAAUGUCAUUGGAUUCUAUCCAAUGGGAAGAUAUAUGGGCUAUGAGAAGUUAAAAAAAAUGUGGCACCAGCUCUGCUGACUCCUUAUAUUCUUCUAAGUGGGCUUCAAGCCAUCGUUGACAUUUGUUUUUAAACAUCCUGUAAGCCAUGCCGUUUUAUCAAAUUAAAUUAAAAGCACAAUAUAUUCUCUUACAAUGACAGAACCUGAGUCAGGACUUCCAAGUUUGUGUUAUUAUUAUUUUGCUUUUUACAAAGGAAUUAAAUUUUUUUAAAUUAAACCUGGCAUUGUUGGUCUGCUGUGCCUACUUAAUGCUAAUAAAGUACAUGCAUACCUUC